rnacentral:tRNA from 1 species
GUAAUUAUAGUUUAAAUAAAACAUUAGAUUGUGGUUCUAAAAAUAAUAGUUAAAGUCUUUUUACUUACC